UACGAAGGGGGCUAGCGUUGCUCGGAAUGACUGGGCGUAAAGGGCGCGUAGGCGGUUUGCACAGUCAGGCGUGAAAUUCCUGGGCUUAACCUGGGGGCUGCGCUUGAUACGUGUGGACUGGAGUGCGGAAGAGGGUCGUGGAAUUCCCAGUGUAGAGGUGAAAUGCGUAGAUAUUGGGAGGAACACCAGUGGCGAAGGCGGCUCGCUGGACCGGAACUGACGCUGAGGCGCGAAAGCGUGGGGAGCAAACAGG
rnacentral:rRNA from 1 species